rnacentral:rRNA from 1 species
UACGGGGGGGAGCAAGCGUUGUUCGGAUUUACUGGGCGUAAAGGGCGCGUAGGCGGCCACGACAAGUCACUUGUGAAAUCUCCGGGCUUAACUCGGAACGGUCAAGUGAUACUGUCGGGCUAGAGUACAGAAGGGGCAACUGGAAUUCUCGGUGUAGCGGUAAAAUGCGUAGAUAUCGAGAGGAACACCUGCGGCGAAGGCGGGUUGCUGGGCUGAUACUGACGCUGAUGCGCGAAAGCCAGGGGAGCGAACGGG